rnacentral:rRNA from 1 species
CAGUCGCCGCGGUAAUACAGAGGGUGCGAGCGUUAAUCGGAUUUACUGGGCGUAAAGCGUGCGUAGGCGGCUUCUUAAGUCGGAUGUGAAAUCCCUGAGCUUAACUUAGGAAUUGCAUUCGAUACUGGGAAGCUAGAGUAUGGGAGAGGAUGGUAGAAUUCUAGGUGUAGCGGUGAAAUGCGUAGAGAUCUGGAGGAAUACCGAUGGCGAAGGCAGCCAUCUGGCCUAAUACUGACGCUGAGGUACGAAAGCAUGGGGAGCAAACAGGAUUAGAUACCCGCGUAGUCCCUGUCUCUUAUAC